rnacentral:misc_RNA from 1 species
UCCGGUUUGGCACCGGCAGUCUUUCUAGAGUUCCCGGCAUUACCCGCUGGCAACUAGAAACGGGGGUUGCGCUCGUUGCGGGACUUAACCCAACAUCUCACGACACGAGCUGACGACAGCCAUGCAGCACCUGUGCAUGGACUCCGAAGAGGGGCCCUGGUUUCUCAGGGCUUUCCCAUACACGUCAAGCCUAGGUAAGGUUCUUCGCGUUGCGUCGAAUUAAACCACAUGCUCCACCGCUUGUGCGGGCCCCCGUCAAUUCCUUUGAGUUUCAGCCUUGCGGCCGUACUCCCCAGGCGGGGUACUUAAUGCGUUAGCUGCGGCACCGCGGGGGUCAAUACCCACGACACCUAGUGCUCAUCGUUUAUAGCGUGGACUAC